rnacentral:tRNA from 5 species
GCGCCCGUAGCUCAGUGGAUAGAGUAUUGGCCUCCGAAGCCAAGGGCCGCUGGUUCGAUUCCAGCCGGGCGCACCA